GGCAGUCAGAGGCGAUGAAGGACGUGCUAAUCUGCGAUAAGCGUCGGUAAGGUGAUAUGAACCGUUAUAACCGGCGAUUUCCGAAUGGGGAAACCCAGUGUGAUUCGUCACACUAUCAUUAACUGAAUCCAUAGGUUAAUGAGGCGAACCGGGGGAACUGAAACAUCUAAGUACCCCGAGGAAAAGAAAUCAACCGAGAUUCCCCCAGUAGCGGCGAGCGAACGGGGAGCAGCCCAGAGCCUGAAUCAGUGUGUGUGUUAGUGGAAGCGUCUGGAAAGGCGCGCGAUACAGGGUGACAGCCCCGUACACAAAAAUGCACAUGCUGUGAGCUCGAUGAGUAGGGCGGGACACGUGGUAUCCUGUCUGAAUAUGGGGGGACCAUCCUCCAAGGCUAAAUACUCCUGACUGACCGAUAGUGAACCAGUACCGUGAGGGAAAGGCGAAAAGAACCCCGGCGAGGGGAGUGAAAAAGAACCUGAAACCGUGUACGUACAAGCAGUGGGAGCCUCUUUAUGGGGUGACUGCGUACCUUUUGUAUAAUGGGUCAGCGACUUAUAUUCUGUAGCAAGGUUAACCGAAUAGGGGAGCCGAAGGGAAACCGAGUCUUAACUGGGCGUUAAGUUGCAGGGUAUAGACCCGAAACCCGGUGAUCUAGCCAUGGGCAGGUUGAAGGUUGGGUAACACUAACUGGAGGACCGAACCGACUAAUGUUGAAAAAUUAGCGGAUGACUUGUGGCUGGGGGUGAAAGGCCAAUCAAACCGGGAGAUAGCUGGUUCUCCCCGAAAGCUAUUUAGGUAGCGCCUCGUGAACUCAUCUCCGGGGGUAGAGCACUGUUUCGGCAAGGGGGUCAUCCCGACUUACCAACCCGAUGCAAACUGCGAAUACCGGAGAAUGUUAUCACGGGAGACACACGGCGGGUGCUAACGUCCGUCGUGAAGAGGGAAACAACCCAGACCGCCAGCUAAGGUCCCAAAGUCAUGGUUAAGUGGGAAACGAUGUGGGAAGGCCCAGACAGCCAGGAUGUUGGCUUAGAAGCAGCCAUCAUUUAAAGAAAGCGUAAUAGCUCACUGGUCGAGUCGGCCUGCGCGGAAGAUGUAACGGGGCUAAACCAUGCACCGAAGCUGCGGCAGCGACGCUGAUGCGUUGUUGGGUAGGGGAGCGUUCUGUAAGCCUGUGAAGGUGUGCUGUGAGGCAUGCUGGAGGUAUCAGAAGUGCGAAUGCUGACAUAAGUAACGAUAAAGCGGGUGAAAAGCCCGCUCGCCGGAAGACCAAGGGUUCCUGUCCAACGUUAAUCGGGGCAGGGUGAGUCGACCCCUAAGGCGAGGCCGAAAGGCGUAGUCGAUGGGAAACAGGUUAAUAUUCCUGUACUUGGUGUUACUGCGAAGGGGGGACGGAGAAGGCUAUGUUGGCCGGGCGACGGUUGUCCCGGUUUAAGCGUGUAGGCUGGUUUUCCAGGCAAAUCCGGAAAAUCAAGGCUGAGGCGUGAUGACGAGGCACUACGGUGCUGAAGCAACAAAUGCCCUGCUUCCAGGAAAAGCCUCUAAGCAUCAGGUAACAUCAAAUCGUACCCCAAACCGACACAGGUGGUCAGGUAGAGAAUACCAAGGCGCUUGAGAGAACUCGGGUGAAGGAACUAGGCAAAAUGGUGCCGUAACUUCGGGAGAAGGCACGCUGAUAUGUAGGUGAAGUCCCUCGCGGAUGGAGCUGAAAUCAGUCGAAGAUACCAGCUGGCUGCAACUGUUUAUUAAAAACACAGCACUGUGCAAACACGAAAGUGGACGUAUACGGUGUGACGCCUGCCCGGUGCCGGAAGGUUAAUUGAUGGGGUCAGCGCAAGCGAAGCUCUUGAUCGAAGCCCCGGUAAACGGCGGCCGUAACUAUAACGGUCCUAAGGUAGCGAAAUUCCUUGUCGGGUAAGUUCCGACCUGCACGAAUGGCGUAAUGAUGGCCAGGCUGUCUCCACCCGAGACUCAGUGAAAUUGAACUCGCUGUGAAGAUGCAGUGUACCCGCGGCAAGACGGAAAGACCCCGUGAACCUUUACUAUAGCUUGACACUGAACAUUGAGCCUUGAUGUGUAGGAUAGGUGGGAGGCUUAGAAGUGUGGACGCCAGUCUGCAUGGAGCCGACCUUGAAAUACCACCCUUUAAUGUUUGAUGUUCUAACGUUGACCCGUAAUCCGGGUUGCGGACAGUGUCUGGUGGGUAGUUUGACUGGGGCGGUCUCCUCCUAAAGAGUAACGGAGGAGCACGAAGGUUGGCUAAUCCUGGUCGGACAUCAGGAGGUUAGUGCAAUGGCAUAAGCCAGCUUGACUGCGAGCGUGACGGCGCGAGCAGGUGCGAAAGCAGGUCAUAGUGAUCCGGUGGUUCUGAAUGGAAGGGCCAUCGCUCAACGGAUAAAAGGUACUCCGGGGAUAACAGGCUGAUACCGCCCAAGAGUUCAUAUCGACGGCGGUGUUUGGCACCUCGAUGUCGGCUCAUCACAUCCUGGGGCUGAAGUAGGUCCCAAGGGUAUGGCUGUUCGCCAUUUAAAGUGGUACGCGAGCUGGGUUUAGAACGUCGUGAGACAGUUCGGUCCCUAUCUGCCGUGGGCGCUGGAGAACUGAGGGGGGCUGCUCCUAGUACGAGAGGACCGGAGUGGACGCAUCACUGGUGUUCGGGUUGUCAUGCCAAUGGCACUGCCCGGUAGCUAAAUGCGGAAGAGAUAAGUGCUGAAAGCAUCUAAGCACGAAACUUGCCCCGAGAUGAGUUCUCCCUGACUCCUUGAGAGUCCUGAAGGAACGUUGAAGACGACGACGUUGAUAGGCCGGGUGUGUAAGCGCAGCGAUGCGUUGAGCUAACCGGUACUAAUGAACCGUGAGGCUUAACCUU
rnacentral:rRNA from 1 species